AUUUUCUUUAUAGUGUUUUAUAAAGGGUUCACAUUUAAUAUUAAAUGCCUUCAUCAUUUAACACGAAGAUGAUUUAUUUUUUUGUCGUUAUUAUUUUAUGGACAACUCCAGCAUGUUAUUAUUCUGUUGAUUCUACACCAUCUUCUUCUACAGCCGAACAGAACGAAAAGCAAAUCGAACACCGUGACUUAGUGGUCAAAGACAUUAGCACUCUGUUUCUAGAUGACAGAUUUUCUGAUGUUGUUUUUAUUGUCGAUAAGGUACACUUGCCAGUCCACCGUGCUAUAUUAGCUUCACGAAGUGAAUAUUUCAG